CUGGCCUUGACAUGCUGAGAACUUUCCAGAGAUGGAUUGGUGCCUUCGGGAACUCAGACACAGGUGCUGCAUGGCUGUCGUCAGCUCGUGUCGUGGGAUGUUGGGUUAAGUCCCGUAACGAGCGCAACCCUUGUCCUUAGUUACCAGCACGUAAUGGUGGGCACUCUAAGGAGACUGCCGGUGACAAACCGGAGGAAGGUGGGGAUGACGUCAAGUCAUCAUGGCCCUUACGGCCAGGGCUACACACGUGCUACAAUGGUCGGUACAAAGGGUUGCCAAGCCGCGAGGUGGAGCUAAUCCCAUAAAACCGAUCGUAGUCCGGAUCGCAGUCUGCAACUCGACUGCGUGAAGUCGGAAUCGCUAGUAAUCGUGAAUCAGAAUGUCACGGUGAAUACGUUCC
rnacentral:rRNA from 1 species